AUUAGCUAGUUGGUGAGGUAAAGGCUCACCAAGGCGACGAUGGGUAGCCGGUCUGAGAGGAUGGUCGGCCACACUGGGACUGAGACACGGCCCAGACUCCUACGGGAGGCAGCAGUGGGGAAUUUUGCGCAAUGGGGGCAACCCUGACGCAGCGACGCCGCGUGGGUGAUGAAGGCCUUCGGGUUGUAAAGCCCUGUCUGGGGGGAAGAUAGUGACGGUACCCCCGGAGGAAGCCCCGGCUAACUACGUGCCAGCAGCCGCGGUAAGACGUGGGGGGCGAGCGUUGUCCGGAAUUAUUGGGCGUAAAGGGCGUGUAGGCGGCUUUUCAAGUCAGCUGUGAAAUUCCCCGGCUCAACCGGGGGCCUGCAGUUGAAACUGGGGAGCUUGAGUGCAGGAGAGGAGGGUGGAAUUCCUGGUGUAGCGGUGAAAUGCGUAGAUAUCAGGAGGAACACCGGUGGCGAAGGCGACCUUCUGGCCUGUUACUGACGCUGAGGCGCGAAAGCCGGGGGAGCGAACAGGAUUAGAUACCCUGGUAGUCCUGGCUGUAAACGCUGGGUACUAGGUGUAGGGGGUUUAGAUACCUUCUGUGCCGUAGUUAACGCAUUA
rnacentral:rRNA from 1 species